ACCUGUUAGACCAAAAGACACACCCUCUUUCCUCAUUUGAGCCUUGACAUGUCAAGAAUCUGUUGUUCGUACUGGCAGCGUCUGUGAAGUGAAAAAGUAUCUGUUCAGGGCUCACCUUUAAGGAAACCUUUCUCCACAGAAAGGCAAAAUUUAAACUGACAAGAGAAAAACUUCUAAAAGCUAAAGGAUAUUGUAUCAAACUAAACAAGCAUCAUGGGACGAGGUGAGAGUGAGGGGUGGGAGGAAGAGCCUAAGACAACUCAGCCCAAGAGUGAUGGGGACAACAAGGAAAAAAGUUCCAACGGUGGAGGCUGUCCAAAGUGCUGCUUGAAGACCAGGGACUGUCUGAUGAGCGCAGAAUGUGGCAGAGCACUGCAGAUCUCCAGUGUUGUCGCCUUCUGCGGAAUGUGUAUCCGUGCAUGGACGUAAUCAUCAAGGCCAUCAGGACUUCUAUGAACUAUGAAGAAUCUUUCAAUCUUCUGAUUGAAAUAUUUUACUGUACUCUAAAAUGAAAAAAUGUUUAAUUUUACUCUUAAUUUUUCUUAUCUUGAGCAAAUAUUUAAUAUAAAAAAUAAGUUAGCAGUAUUUUAAAUAGAUAGGACAGUUAUUAAAAAUGUCAUACUUUACCAAAAUAUUUGAUUUAUGUAGAAAGAGGGAAGUGUAUUUGUAUCUAUGCAGUAAAUAAUGUCAUAAUGUAGAAAGUUGGAGUCAAGCUUGUUUGUAUUUAUUGUAAUUUAGAGAAUUACAUGGGAAGAGCUUGAAUGUAUAUAAAAACUAAGUAAGCGUGAUUUAUUUUUUGUGUUAAAGUAAAUUUUUUUGCAGUUUAUCUCCUUACAAAUUGGUCAGAUGUAAGAGAUAAAUACAUAACAUUCAUUUUGAAAAGCUGUUCUUACAAUUUGAUCACAACAAAACUCAUCUGACAUUCAUCAAUGCAAUGUGUGUUUGCAUUGUAUUUUGUGUUUGAUUUGAUGUAAAGCACUUUGAAAUGCCUUGCUGCUGAAAUGUGCUAUACAAAUAAAGUUUGAUUGAUUGAUCAAGCCUUCAAUUUGAGGGCUUUGGUUCAGUUUGCCCAA